CACACACACACACACACACACACACACAUACAUUCACACCCCAUCCCACGGCUAGGGCUGAGAAGGGACCCAGACUCCAUUAAAUCAAAAGAAUGCCAAUUAACCUAUCAUGAUUAGGGUCCCGUUAGCAAGGAAAAAGGGAAAGACUGUCAGAUGAGAAAGCUGAGGUUUGGAGAGAAAAAUGAAAUGCUAUCAAGCGACAUAAAAGGAGUUAAAAACUAGACAGUCUGACUCUGAAGCCAAAACUGUUAGCCCUUAUGUACAAAUGCCUCUGAGAGCUACAUGACUCUGAAAGCUCCGUGCUAUUGGAAACUUCAGCCAGCUUAAAGAUUAAGUGGAGGAGAUACAGUAAUCACCUAGAAGUCUAACUCUGCCAUCCCUAUUCUUAUCUAUGACCCUGGAAGCCAUUUCAUGUGACUUCCGUCCAAAGACAUGAGAAAUGGCUAGAAGGAAGGGGCCACUGAAAAUCUCUAGGAAAAGAGAAACAACAGCAGUAACUAGCAACCUCUUUUCAUGAGUACCAAUAAAGUAAGACCUGAGCUGCUUCCUGGCCCCGUGGAAAUUCAGCAGGACUAUGGAAGUGAGAAUGAGGGAGAGGAG
rnacentral:lncRNA from 1 species